AUUGAAAAUUUCUGUGUUUUGCUAGAAUUGCGAGCUAAAAGGGAAAUUUUGUUGUUCUUAUUGAUUGUGAGUAGUUCUUAAGCAUGUGGUAUGUUACAAGUGCUUCUUGCUGGAAUUUGAGAGAACUACUUACACGUUUUGCUUAGAUUUGAUAUGUGUGAUUUAUGUCUUAAUGCUCUAUGUCUGUGUUUUCUAGUUUCUGUUCAUUUACUAUUUCCUUAGUUUAUGUUUCUAUUUUGAAGAUUUGAGUUGUAGAAGAUGAGGAUGAUGACCUCUGAUACAGAAUCCACCAAGUUUUGGGCUUAUCAAGCUCAGGGAGAUGAGUCAAGGCUUGAAGAGCUUACCUUAAAUGACUUUGUCAAGUUGCAUAAUGUAAUCACAAGGGAAUAAACGAAUAGUAUCCAUGAUUUGUCUGUGUCACCUGAAAACAGAACAAUGACAACAACAUGAGGAAGAGACACCAUUGAUGCAGGUGAAAGACGAAUAGUAUCGAUGGUUUGAUGGCGUCACGUGAGAAGAGAACAAUGACAACAACAUGAAGAAGAGCCGCCAUUGAUGCAGGUGAAAGACGAAUAGUAUCAAUGUUUUGUUGGCGUAUCUUGAAAAACAGAACAAUGACGACAACGUUAUGAAGAGACACCGUCGAUGCAGGUGAAAGACUAGUACGACAACUCUAUUAGAACACAAACCUAAUCUUGUUUGUUCUUGGAGAAUUUUGUAUAUAAUGAUCAUCUCUGUAAUAUAAAUUGUAGAUUUGUAAUCCCAAAACAAUAGUCUUUAUUUACAAUCACAAAAACUUUAACCCUUGCAGA